CCUCCCGUUCCAGUCUCAAUCUGCAAACGUGUAUGGCAACAAGUGUUGGCAAGGAUGUGAGAAAUUGGAGCCCCUACCCCUCCUUUCAUUGCUGGUGGGAAUAUAAAAUGGUACAGCUGCUGUGAAAAAGAGAAUGGUUCCGAAGAAUACCAAGAGGGUGGGUCCUGAAUACCUGCGGUUCUCAUCUGGCCCCAUAGCCUCUCACCCCUUCCUCAGGCCAGUGACAGACACCCGCUCUCUGACCCAGCACAGACACCAUCACAACUGGUCUCCUUCCUACACUUAGGGAUGUGACAGGAGGCAGUGGGACCGACUGCUGACUGAAGGUGGACUUUAGACCCUAGGCAGCCCACCAUGGGAGUGCUCUCUGCUGUCAGCUGUUGGCAUCACACCUCAGAAGCCAGCUCCAGAGCCAGCUCUAGCUUCCAGAAGGGCAUCUGAGGUAUAUGGGACAGAUCUCCCAAUGCCCGGAUGCUGGCCGCAAAUGCUAACUGAGGUAAUCGUAGGUCAAAAGUAUGCUGUUGGGUUUUCACAGUGGUGAUGGAUGGAUUGACAGGUAUAUAGUCAAAAUGAGAUUUUACAUAAAAAUCUGGUUUGCUGAUUUCUCUUGAAAAAUCUGAGGACCUUGCAAUAAGUGGCCUGCACUCUGACAUGCCAAGAACUGGCUGAAGCUUGGGCUUCAAACCUUUUCCUUGGGCACAAAUUAUACUCUAGCACAUUCCCUGGAAAAAAAAUCACCUUAAAGGUGAUAGAUGCACUUACAAAAGAGAUCGCCUUUCUCAGGAAAAAAAAAUUGUUCUUUCCUGCAAAAUGAAAAAUGCAGCAUCAGUCUAACCAGGACCCUCUGUGCGUCUAGAAACAAACCCAAGGCAUGGCAAGCUGGGAGAAACUGAAAAAAAUUACACUAAAAUAAUAAAAAUGUCUGUGUCCUUAA